AGAAAGCAUAGGUCUAACUAGAAGUCGACGCAGCUGCUUGUUUUCGUCAUUCAUCUAUGUUUUUUUCAGAUUAAAGAAAAGUCAGGUCAACCUAGCACUGAUCUCAACUCAAUCUCUAUCUUCUAUUUUUGUUCGAAUCUCAGAGAAAGCACAGGUCUACCCAGAAGUAGACGCAGUAGUUUGUUUCAUCCAUUCAUCUGUGUUUUUUAAGAACAAAGACAGUCAGGUCUACCUAGCACCGAUCUCAACUCGAUCUCCAUCUUUAUUCACGAAGUAUCAGGUUCGAUAUGAUAACUGAAAAUAGGGAUAAAUCAAUUAUGAAAAGUACUAUUAGAUACUCAUUUGUUGCGCCCGGGGCAAUAGAAAGAGGAAGAGGACGAGGGUUUUGAAUAUAUAUGGAGUUCUUAACUGCAUGUACUAAGAGUUCAUUAUUUCACUCUAGUCAUCUUGUUAAGCAACACAUUCAAGAAGUUGAAACAAGUGCUAUUGAGAAGGGACGACAUUAACUUACCAACGUCCCAAAGUCUUCUAGUCAUGAAAAGGAAGCAAUAAAUGAGAAGUUCAAUAUGUCUCUUGAGAAAGAGUAUAUUCAAGUCAAUACUUCAUUUCAUCCAUCUACCAAGCAAGCUAAGCAAUACAUCCAUGAUGUUGAAACAAGUUGUAUUUGUAAAGGACAAGGAACUGAAAAUAAAAACACCACCAUGUCUUCUGGCGGACCUCAAACUCGUAAUUGUGUAUUUGGCUUUGGUGGUUGAGUAAAGGGAAAGGACAUGACGGGUGACACUUCUUCAAAGACUGAGUUACUAUCUAAGCUAGCUUCAACUCAAGAGGAAAAUAAAUCUUUGAAUGAGAAAAACAAAUCCUUGAAUGAUAGCUUGUCUACCUUAGAAGAUGAGAUGAGAGAACUAAGAAGAAUGCAAUAAUUCUUUGCUGCUUAACAAUCACAUAAUCCACAUAUGACAUCACCUGAAUCAGUUCAAUGACCACUGACUUUUUUUGCUGAUCAACUUGUUAAUACUUUUGGAUAACCCUUGGUGAAUUUCGGUGUACUUUUGUGAAGAUUGAAGCUGCAAGUUUAGAAGAUGCAAGAUUAGAAGAUGCACAAGACCAUUAAUAAUUUGCUCGGGAUAUUGUUAAUUUGCUAACCUUUUUUUUUGUUAAACAAAUAUUGAAACUUACACCAUGGGAUGUUUACUUAUUUUUAUAUUUACAUCAGCCUUUUGUAUGG